ACGAACGCUGGCGGCGUGCUUAACACAUGCAAGUCGAACGGAAAGGCCCUGCUUUUGUGGGGUGCUCGAGUGGCGAACGGGUGAGUAACACGUGAGUAACCUGCCCUUGACUUUGGGAUAACUUCAGGAAACUGGGGCUAAUACCGGAUAGGAGCUCCUGCUGCAUGGUGGGGGUUGGAAAGUUUCGGCGGUUGGGGAUGGACUCGCGGCUUAUCAGCUUGUUGGUGGGGUAGUGGCUUACCAAGGCUUUGACGGGUAGCCGGCCUGAGAGGGUGACCGGCCACAUUGGGACUGAGAUACGGCCCAGACUCCUACGGGAGGCAGCAGUGGGGAAUAUUGCACAAUGGGCGGAAGCCUGAUGCAGCAACGCCGCCUGCGGGAUGACGGCCUUCGGGUUGUAAACCACUUUCGCCUGUGACGAAGCGUGAGUGACGGUAAUGGGUAAAGAAGCACCGGCUAACUACGUG
rnacentral:rRNA from 1 species